rnacentral:rRNA from 1 species
AACGAACGCUGGCGGCAGGCCUAACACAUGCAAGUCGAGCGAGACCUUCGGGUCUAGCGGCGGACGGGUGAGUAACGCGUGGGAACGUGCCCUUUUCUGCGGAAUAGCCUCGGGAAACUGAGCGUAAUACCGCAUACGCCCUUUGGGGGAAAGAUUUAUCGGAAAAGGAUCGGCCCGCGUUGGAUUAGGUAGUUGGUGGGGUAAUGGCCUACCAAGCCUACGAUCCAUAGCUGGUUUGAGAGGAUGAUCAGCCACACUGGGACUGAGACACGGCCCAGACUCCUACGGGAGGCAGCAGUGGGGAAUCUUAGACAAGGGGGGCAACCCUGAUCUAGCCAUGCCGCGUGAGUGAUGAAGGCCUUAGGGUUGUAAAGCUCUUUCAGCUGGGAAGAUAAUGACGGUACCAGCAGAAGAAGCCCCGGCUAACUCCGUG